AAUUGGUUCAACAAUUAAAAGGAAAAAUAGUGAACAUGACGAUCUUGAGAAUAUAUCUUUAUAAAUACAAGAACUAGUAUGGCUUUUGUUACAAAUUUUCUGUACAUUACAGCUGCAGUGGAUCUUGAGUACAUGUCAUCUUUACAAAAUGUUGUAGUCCACUCAAUAACAUUUUGAAAAUAAACAUUAAAUAAAACGUUGUUUAACAGUCUUGCUGAGUACUUUCCUUUGCUCUGUAUUGUAGAUGUGAUAAAGUUUUAUUUUCAUAUCUGUCUUUUCACUUUCUGUCAAAAUUUAUAAGUUUUAUUGUCAUGACAGUUCUAGGUGCCACUAUAAAACAACAAAGCAAAAAGAUAGUGCACCAACUAUAAUAAAAUCUUGUUUCUGAUAGUAGGCCAUGCAUGUCUAUUCACCGACUACUACUGUUUUAUCUCCCAAUACAUGUAAGGUAGCUACUGUUUUAUCUCCCAAUACAUGUAAGGUAGCUGACCGUGAACACAUGGUUAAUAUGUGUCUGUGGUUGUCAAGGGCGUCGGGCCCGAGGGUAGGAGGACCGCGGCUCCGAAGGUCGUAGCCGCCGUCCGUGUUGCCGACCGGGUUAUGCCCCCAGGAACGGCGGUCUUCGUCAACGGGUUAUGCCCCCUGUUGCCGAGUAGAGAGAGGUAGGAGACUGAGAUAAAACUUUCUUGUACUCAUCAUGGGUGCUUACAGGGGGUAUAUAAGGCCAUAGGCCAGGGCUACUAAAGGAAGCCACUAAUCACUCUUAUUCCCUUCUAAAUCUAUCCCAGAUUAUUAAAGGAAAGCCAUCAAUCACUAAUCACUCUUAUUCCCUUCUAAAUCUAGCCCGGACUAAUAAAGGAAAGCCAUCAAUCACAGAUCACUCCUAUUCCUUCUAAAUCUAGCCCGGACUAAUAGGAAGGCCAUCAAUCACUUUUAUUCUUUCCAGAUCUAGCCGCUAGGCCUGGCUGCCUGCUGGAUCAGGCGCUGCCUGCUGGAUCAGGCGUCCUGCGCGCUCAGCCGCGCGCCGCACGUCGCGUGCCCUGUGCCGACGUGUGUACGUAUUUCCGUACAUCACAGUGGUGUUCUAGUGUGAUGAGUAAUUGUCAAGGAGAUGGUUGGUAUUGGUUUCGAGAUGACUAACCUUAGUAUGGUGCAACAUGUCUUUUGGUUUGUGGCACGUAGCUACAGAGCACAUAGGUAGUGGUCGGCGUGAAGAUGAAGGUCAAGUGGAUUCGUGUCGAUGGCUUGGGAGCAGUGACGUUGAGGCUUGAACUGAGUGUUUAGAAAAACCGGAGGACUGGGCACUAGUGGCCAACACCUGGGGACAUCGACAAGUGCAAGUGUUGACCAAAUCAAGACAACGGUCGAUCAAGCAGGUGGAGGUGUUGUAGGACUUGGUGAUUGAACGGUCGAGGAUUGAGGUGACACAUGGCGAGAUCGCAGAGGGGGCAUAGAGGAUACACUACUCCGGAGUGAUUUAGUGGUUUGGGCCUCAAAACCAUCGACGAACGAUUUUUGGGUUUGGACCUCAAAACCAAGAUAGGAUUGCGGUGGGUAUUGAAGGCGGCACAUGGCGUUAUUGUAAAGCUUGCAUUGAUACAAGAAAAAUCAUGAAGAACCCAUGGCCAUCAGAUCUAUAAAUCUUGAGGGCAAUGUGUAAUAGCCCUAUAAUAAGGAGGAAG